AUGCCAUUUGGUAAGCUUUCUUCCCCCUUAUCAGUUUCUCCUUUCCCAGAUUUUCCCUCUUCAGUUUUUCAUUCUUCCCCAUUUCUCUCCCCUUAAUCUUGUCUAUCCCACAUUUCAGCAAUUGCUUUUUUAGUUUCUCACUUUAAAAAAUUUCCUCCCAACAGACUCUCUCUGUCUCUCUCUCUCUCUCUGUGCAAACUUCUUCAAAUUCUCAGUGCGUUUCCAAAUCGGUGUUGCCAAGCUCCUUGCCGGGUGUUAAACAUCUUCAAUCUCUGCUGCCAACACCACCUUGGAUCUCAUCAUUACAAUGUUAAAUUUCAUGGGUUUUCAUUUCUUCCUCUACGUUCAGUGUCUUCGUGCAUGACCAAGAACUUAUAAGCAGUACGCAUCUACCCCUCUUUAUUUUCCCCUCUUGUUGUGUGCGUGUAUAUGUUCUUUACUUUGUCCCGAGGCCUAAACCUCCCUUGCUGCACACAAAACAUAGGCGUCUCCAUUUGUGGGUUUUUUUGUCACCAAUUGCGACAUCUCUGACUAACUCGGGUUUCUCAGAUGGGUUGCUGCUUCUCUACUGUCGUUCAUGGAACUAUGAAGAAUGAAAGGAAGAAAGGAAUUCGACCAGAGGGGCACUUUUUGAGCUGUGUCAGCGUCAGACUGAGGGCAGUGCAUAGAGAGCAGCGAGGAAGAGAAGGGCAGAGGGCAAUGCAAAUGAGAAAGGGGGUAGCAACACAUACGACCUUCAUUCUCUAUGGUGGAGUGUAUUUUUCUUACAGUAUUUUUUCUUACGUGACUAGCAACACACAGACCGCUGGGAAGAGUUUCUCUUUAAUUAUUGUUGGGUUGUGUGAAUAUUAAUCACAAGGUAGUAAAUUUAGUCUUUGGCAGCGCUAUAUUACUCACAAACCAACAAAUCAUCACUUCGGGAUUGUGAAAGGUGUUGGGAUUGCUAGAGUUCAGACUCAAGAUUUAAACAGUACACUACGAGAAUUAGUAAUAGGCAAUUGAGGAACUGUAACACCAUGGUUUGGAAAAGAUUCUCCAGAAACAUUGUUGGCUAGAGCAAGUCUUGACUAUGAAGUCUUGAAACCAAUGGAUACCCAAGCAUUUGAUAACAUUUUUCCACUGUAUGUCCAAUAAUUUCACAUACUCUCAAGGGAAGAAGAAAGUGAAUAAACUUAAUCUCUCGCUGCUUUUCUUCUUGUAAACAAGGAAAAGACUUCGUUUAAUAGUAGUAAGGGUUCCAUAAGAAAAGGAGUUGUUCAAAUCCAUCAAGAAUUGCAUUGUGGGUGAUCCAUAAGAGUAUUAUAAAUCCCACUGGUGUAAGAACCAGAAGAGCAUCCAGGCAAUGGAUUGUAAUUUUCUAAUUCAUCCCAAAAUGACUUCAGCUUAGUAAAACAAAGACUUAUAUAUUCUUGAUCUUGAGCAAAAAUUGAAAUUCAAUUUUGUAACUGGAAGGUUCGUGGACCAUUUCUAUGAGAAAAUCGAUUCUUGAGUUCA